rnacentral:misc_RNA from 1 species
GUGAAUCAUCGAAUCUUUGAACGCACAUUGCGCCCCCUGGCAUUCCGGGGGGCAUGCCUGUCCGAGCGUCAUUUCUGCCCUCAAGCACGGCUUGUGUGUUGGGUGUGGUCCCCCCGGGGACCUGCCCGAAAGGCAGCGGCGACGCCCGUCUGGUCCUCGAGCGUAUGGGGCUUUGUCACUCGCUCGGGAGGGGCCUGCGGGGGUUGGUCACCACCACAUUUUUUACCACGGUUGACCUCGGAUCAGGUAGGAGUUACCCGCUGAACUUAAGCAUAUCAAUAAGCGGAGGA